GUGUGUUCAUGUGAUGCAGGAAGGAUGUGUCCUAAAAGAGUUUGCAUCGAGCCAAACUGCAUCACUUCUGAGUCCGACCACCGCUCGGCACUUAUCUUUGGAUAUCCUCCCUUUCGCUUUAGUUACAUUGGGUGAAAGGGAAGAAACCGAAGAGAACGAGAGAAGGAUUGUGAAAUGGGAGCUACGGCAUCAUCCGCGCAGCGGGACAGCAGAUGUGAGGAGGACGCGGCGGCGGAGGAGCCCACUGCAGCAGCGAGCGAUGCUCAGGAUGACGGCAGUCCCGAUGACAAGUUGUUACAGAAAAACGGACAGAUCUCCAGAUUGAAUGUGAAGACAAGCAACCAUGCAGAUGAAUUGAAUGGGCAAUUUGAAGAGAGAGUACUUGCAGAUGUUGGCUCAGGGUUUGUGACUCUGAAAGACGAUGGCACAGAAACAACUGAAGACCUUCAGGAUAUGGAUGCUCUUCAACCAAACAUUAAGAAUGAGAGCACAGAGAUGGUCAAUACAGAUGGUGUAGAACCUGAGGAGGACAACCAAGUUAAUGAUAUCAAUGAAGUUGGCUUUAAAAAAAUCUUCAAAUUUGUUGGAUUUAAGUUCACCCUAAAAAAAGACACAUGUGAAAAGACUGAAGCAAUUGAGCAAGAAGAAAGUGUUGCAAGUCCCUCAGAGGACUCCAGUGACACUCAAGAGAACAGUGCAGUGGCAGCAAAUGAAAACAUAAUUGAUGAGACUCACAAAAGUGAGGUGUCUUCCCAGCCUGAUGCAGCUGAAGCUUCUCAACAAACAGACAAUGAAACAGAGCUCGAUCAGGACAUGAAGUUAGUGGAACAUCAUGUGGAGGACGCACCUGAAAAAGAAAUGGCAAAAGAAAGUCCUGAGCCAGAGGAACAAAUGUCACCAAUCAAGCAGUUCUUUACACAGGGUAUCUUUGCCAGUUUAAGAAAGAAAAGGAAAGAAGAGGAAAUACAAAAAGAGAGUAAGGAAGAGGAACUCAAAAGAAUCGAGAAAAUUGGUGCAGAGGUGACUGAACAUGAGGACAGUAAAUGCAUGUGUCUUGAUAUCCCUUAUAUUCUAUCAGAGGAAGAAAAAGAUUCACCGGAGAAAGCCGAUGACAAGUUAUUACCUGAAGGAGAGCUUCAGAACUUUCAAGAGAAAGAUAAGGUACAAGGAAGUCCACUUAAAAGACUUUUUAGGAAAUUUUCCACAAGAAAGCAGAGAGAAAGUAAAGCUGCAGAAAAGGUGAUCGAGGCAGAGGAACAAGUCUCUGAACAGCCAAAGCCAUCUUUGGAAUUGACAGAACAAGGGAAAGUGGAGGAACCAGUGACUGAGGAACCAAAACCUGCUGAAGAGGAGCUGGUGGCUGAUGUAAGCCCUCAAGAGUCCAAAAAGAAAUCUGACACUACUGUUUCCUGGGAGGCACUGAUUUGUGGUGGCUCCUCUAAAAAAAGGGCUAGAAAAACAAAUGAGGAUGAAACAGCAGACAAAGGAGGAGACUAUGAGAAAACAACUGACUCUCCACUUGGAAGUUCCUUUGAGGGUGAUUACGAUCAUCUUACAUCAUCUAAUGAACAAACAGGAAGUCCUGCAGAGGGAGAGAUGGGAUCCACAUGGAAAACAUUUAAAAAAAUGGUCACCCCAAAGAGAAAGGUCAGAACUGGAGAAAGUAGUAGCCCUGAGCAGAUACCUUCAGACAGUGAGAUGAACAAAGAUGAUUCAUUUUCUAUGAAGAAACUUAUACCAGGGCACAAAAAAAGAAAAUCGGAAGCAAGGCAAGAACAAACAUCCUCUGAUGAGGCUGCUAAGGAUCAUGAUACAGGUGAUGAAGAUGAUGAAACCCCAGCUAUUAUUCCCCUGUCUGAGUAUGAAAUAAUUGAGCCUGAGAGUCUGAAAGAGGUGAAUGAACAGCGAGUUGAAAUCACAAUAGAACAUGAGAUGCCAGAGAUGACAUCGCAAGUGUUAGAACAGGACACAUCCAAUGACUUGGUGCCGGAAAUUGCAGCUAAAGUUUCAAGUAACAUUGGACCAACAGUCAUACCUGGUCUAUCAGAGGACUUUGAAGAACUCACAGACUUUGUGAGCAAACAUCAACAACUGAGUGAUAUACCAGAGGAAGGCAUCAUUGAGGAAAGCAUUGAAACACCAGUAUCAUCUGCUGAGUGGACAACACAGGAUGACACCUUAGCUGAAGACAUUGUGGAGUUGACAGCUGAUGCGGUCACUGCCCCAGAACCAGCAAGUGAGCAGUUUAUUGGGGAUGACACUACUGAAAUGGUCUCUGCAGUCUCGCAACUAAGUGAAUCACCCAGGACAUCUGGACAUGUUACACCAGUGCCAGCUGAAUAUAGUGUACAAACAUCAGAUGUGAUUCUACAGGAAGCUAUUCAGUCUAUCUGCAUGACUCCAAGUGUUCAAUCAGUAACUACAAAAGAUGAAAGCCAAGAAUCUCUGGCUGUGUCAUUUUCACCUUACAUUGUACAGUCUUCCACACCAGAGGAAACAAAGGUUUUGGUUGCACAUAAGAAAAGUGAGGCAACAGCAAUAUGUACAGGCCUAGUAUCUCAAGAAAUAGAGUCUGUUGAAGAACAUCUCCCUGCACACAUAGUGGAGGCAAUACCUGAAGUGAGUGAUGCUGUAACAACUGAAUUAGUCUCUGAUAACUUUACAGAUAAACCUGAAGCUGCAGGACUUGGGACAGAUGAGGUCUAUGAAGCUGAAAUCAAGGAUGUGAAGACUGAGUAUAAGGAAAUAAUUGUAAAUGAAGAAGAAUCUGCCACUGAAACUCAGCUAGAGGCUGCUGAACCUGAAAAAGAGAUGAAGCUACCAGAUGUUGAAUUGUCACCUGCUGAGUUUGAGCAAGCUGCACUCACUGAAGGAGUUGAAACUUUGAAACAUGGUAUUGUAGACAACAUUCCUGACACUACCACAAGUAAAGCCUCAGAUGUCCCUGAGGAAGAAAUUGAAAUGAUUGCCUCAGCGGUGGAGUGUCUGGAAAGCAAAGACACUGUUAGUAUUAUAAAUCCAAGUUCAGAUCACAUAGUGGCAGAGAGAUUGAAGUUAGAAGACAAUUUAGAAGUAGAAGUUGAAUCAAUACAUGCUGAUGUCUGUGAAAUACAAGUUGAUGUAAAAGAUGCAGUCUUAUUAGCAGGUGAUUCAGCAGUGACUGUAGAGGAAAUCAGUGAGAAAAUGAAUGAAAAUAAUGAUGGAAAAAUAACACUGCAGGAGAUUAAGGAAAUAUGUGUAGAGGAAGAGACUGAGAAUGUUGUUGCUUCAGAAGUUGUUCAAAAUAUUGAGGCUGAAAACAUUUCAGAAACUGUAGAUGAAUCAUUAGCCAGAGAACAGUUGCCGACUAAGGAGGUGUCACUUCCAGAAUCCAUAUUAGUUGAGGAGGCUGAAGAGAUCCAUAAAGAAGACAUUGAUACAGAUGUGGAUAAUAACAAAGUUGAAGACAGUGCAAGUGACAGAAUGGACAUGGUUUUUGUGAAAGAGAAAGACGACCUUGCAGUAAAAGAAGGGCAACCAUCAGCAAACACUGCAAGCAAUGAAACAGACAAUGAUGUUUCUGCUCAUACAAAUAUUACUGAUGAAUCUCCUGAAAUAACUGUUGAUGCAGAAACUGAAAAUGGAGACAUGGUUCAUGGAAGAGAACCCACAGUUGUUCCUGAGUUUUCAAAAGAUGUAUUUGAGCACACAGAAACACCAGCAGAGCUCGAAACUAAUUGUGAAGUCAUACUGACACCACUAGAGACAGCGUUGUCAGAAGCUGAAGCAAGACCUCUACCAACUGAAAUUGUGGCUUCUCAAACAGAGGAGUGGGGUGAAGACACCAAACAUAUUCCAGAACCACACAAAGAGAAUGAACAACCAGUGACAACUGAGAAUAUUAAGACUGGCAAAGUUUUAGAGAUGGUUGCCAUUAUUGAGAACACAACAAAACAGUCAGGGAAAGAGAAACUUAUAAUGGUUGAACCAGUAGCACAGGCACUCAAAAUAUCUGAGCUACCGAAGGCAACAGAACAAGAGGGUGAUGCAUCUGAAAUGACUGUAGUUAAUGCUGAAGCAAUAGGCGAUGACCAGGCCCCAGAAAUGACAUCAACAUUAAUGAAAGAAACUGCAGUUUCAGAAGUAAAGGAUAAAAUGGCUGUUGCAGAAUCAGAAAGGUUUGACUCAGGGCUGACUGUGAUUGAAGUGGCUCCAACCACAGUGCUGGCACAAAAUGAUACUGCUUCAAAAAUGGAAGUUAGUAAUGUGAGUGAACACAAGAAUGAAGCAGAUGAAGAUGUUAGGCUAAAAUGUGAACCUCUUGAACAGUUAAUAGAAAUGACACUGCCAAAUAAGUUACAGGUAGACAAGGCAGAAAUUAAUGAUGAAAUACCAGCAGUAACGGAAGUAACACCUAUAGCGCAGGUACCACCAUUGAGCUCUGAAGUUACAGCAGAAAUGGCAGACGUUUCAGUUUCUGAGAUACAAACUCAAGUUGUGAGAGAACUCAGGGAGGCGACACUUGAAGUGACUGAACCGAAGGUUGAAAUGCCAGUGGUAACAGAAGUUGAAGUAGAGACAGCUGUAGUAACUGAGCUGGAAGUGGAGACACCUAUUGUCACAUCAGUGGUUACAGAACUUGAAGUAGAAAUGCCAGUGGUUACAUCUAUGGCAAAGACGACUGAUACUCACAAAUCUGUAACCACAGAAUCAAAACAUAUACACUGACACAUCAGUGUUGACAACAGUGGUCAAAGAACAAGUGGGGGAGAUGCCCACUGUGGUAGUGACACCAGCUACAGAUGAAGUAACACCAGUUGUAACUCUAGGCAAUGAGUCAAUGGUUGUAGCACCAGUAGAAGACACACCUGUUGUGAAUGUAGCAGCAGAAACACCAAAUGUUGAAUCAGUGAUUGUGAGGACUGCUGUGGCCCCAGCAGUAGAGAUACAGAAUGUGAUUCCAGUGGUAGCAACACCAGAUCUUGGUUCAGUGUUAGUAACAGAGGCUGCAUCUUCAGUAUUAGAAGCAGCAGAAGCAGCAGUUGUAAGCACAGUUGUAGAAACACCAGUUGUUUCUUUCACAGCAGUAAAACCAACUCCAGCUGUAGUGGCAGAGAUGCCAGCUGCAAUAGAGAAAACAAAUAUGUCCCCUGUUGUAGAGAUCCCAGCAAUACAGACACCAUCUGUAGGCCCAGUGAAAAUGUCAUCAGCUGUAACAUCUGUGGCAGAGACUCGAAGCCAAGUAAUCGAAACUCCUCUGGUUUCCAUCACAUCAGUAACUGUAGCUACAGUGACACAGACACCAGUCGUUGAGAUACCAGCUAUAAUUCCAGUGACAGUAACAGAGGCUGUAUCUUCUGUAGUAGCUACAUCAGCUGUAACUUCAGUAGAAUCAGAAAAAAAUGUGACCCUUGUAGUAGAAACUCCAGCAGUAUCUUCAAUUGCAGUGGCAGAGACAUCACCUGUGACAACAGUGGAAGAAACACCAGCUCAGAUUUCAGUAAUUGUAACAGAAGCAGCACCUCCAGUUCCACCAGCAGCAACUUCAGCAGCAGAAACAUCAGCUGUGAUCCCAGUAGUAGAAGUUGUGAAGUCAACUCCAGUUGCAGUGGUUGAGACACCAGUUGUGUCCCCAGUGGUAGAGACACCAGGUCAGGUUUCAGUGAUAGUAAAAGAGACUGCAUCUACAGUAGUUUGUUCAGCAGUGACUGCAGCAGUAGAAACACAUAUUGUGAUCCCAGUAGUAGAAACUCCAGUGUUAAAGUCAGCUCCGCUUGCAGUGGUUGAAACACCAGUUUUGACUCCUGUGGUACAGACACCACAUCAGGUUUUAGUGACAGCAACAGAGGCUGCACCUCCAGUAGUUGUUUCAGCAGUGGCUUCAGCAGCAGAAACACCUGUUGUGAUCCCAGUAGUAGAAACUCCAGCUGUAAAGCCAGCUCCAAUUGCAGUGGUUGAGACACCAGUUUUGCCUCCAGUGGUACAGACACCAGAUCAGGUUUUAGUGACAGUAACAGAGGCUGCACCUCCAGUAGUUGUUUCAGCAGUGGCUUCAGCAGCAGAAACACCUGUUGUGAUCCCAGUAGUAGAAACUCCAGCUGUAAAGCCAGCUCCAAUUGCAGUGGUUGAGACACCAGUUUUGCCUCCAGUGGUCCAGACCCCACAUCAGGUUUUAGGGACAGUAACAGAGGCUGCACCUCCAGUAGUUGUUUCAGCAGUGGCUUCCGCAGCAGAAACACCUGUUGUGAUCCCAGUAGUAAGAACUCCAGCUGUAAAGCCUGCUCCACUUGCAGUGGUUGAGACACCAGUUUUGCCUCCAGUGGUACAGACACCACAUCAGGUUUUAGUGACAGUAACAGAGGCUGCACCUCCAGUAGUUGUUUCAGCAGUGGCUUCCGCAGCAGAAACACCUGUUGCGAUCCCAGAAGUAGAAACUCCAGCUGUAAAGCCUGCUCCACUUACAGUGGUUGAGACACCAGUUUUGCCUCCAGUGGUACAGACACCACAUCAGGUUUUAGUGACAGUAACAGAGGCUGCAUCUCCAAUAGUUGUUUCAGCAGUGGCUUCAGCAGCAGAAACACCUGUUGUGAUCCCAGUAGUAAGAACUCCAGCUGUAAAACCUGCUCCACUUGCAGUGGUUGAGACACCAGUUUUGCCUCCAGUGGUACAGACACCACAUCAGGUUUUAAUGACAGUAACAGAGGCUGCACCUCCAGUAGUUGUUUCAUCAGUGGCUUCAGCAGCAGAAACACCUGUUGCGAUCCCAGUAGUAGAAACUCCAGCUGUAAAGCCUGCUCCACUUGCAGUGGUUGAGACACCAGUUUUGCCUCCAGUGGUACAGAGACCACAUCAGGUUUUAGUGACAGUAACAGAUGCUGCACCUCAAGUAGUUGUUUCUCCAGUAAUUUCAGCAGCAGAAACACCUGUUGCGAUCCCAGUAGUUGAAACUCCUGUAGUAAAGCCAACUCAAUUUGCAGUGGUUGAGACACCAGUUUUGACUCCAGUGGUACAGACACCACAUCAGGUUUUAGUGACAGUAACAGAGGCUGCACCUCAAGUAGUUCUUUCAUCAGUGAUUGCAGCAGCAGAAACACCUGUUGUAGUUGAAACUCCUGUAGUAAAGCCAACUCCAGUUGCAGUGGCAGAGACACCAGUUGUGACUCCAAUAGCAGAAAGGUCAGUUGUGAGUCUAGUACAAGAAACUUCAGUAGGAGCAAUUGCAGUAGCAGAUAUACCUGUUAGGAUCCCAGUAGUACAGACACCGGCUCUGGUUUCAGUGAUUGUAAAAGAGACUGCAUCUCCAGUAGUUCUACCAGCAGUGACUGCAGCAGCAGAAACAUCAGCUGUGAGCCCAAUAGUAGAAACUCUAGGAGUAAAGCCAACAGUGGCCAUGGCAGAGAAACCCGUGCCUGUAAUUCCAGUAGCAGAAGCAUCUGCUGUGACCCCAGCAGUACAGACACUGGUUGUAGAGCAGAUAGUACAGACACCAACAACACCAGCCGUGCCUUUGGUAAAAGCGACACCAGUUGUGACUGUGAUAGAGACAUCUCCUGUGACUACUGUUGAAGACACGCCACAGGAAACACUAGCAGCACAGACACCUGCUUUAGCCCCUUUGAUGGUGACACCAGCUAUUAGCCCAGUUGUAGGGGCAGCAGCUGAAGCGCCAUUUGUUGUGACACCAGAGGUAAAGGAAGCAGUGUUGCUGGUGGUUGAACAGGAAAAAACGGAAGCAAAGGCAACUCCUUCAGUUGUGUCUGAUAAUGUUGAACCACCACUUGUGGCAGCAAAAGAGGUAAAGACAUCAAUUUUACCUGAAGAAAAGGUACCCAAGAGUUCCUUGCAGCAUGACCCUCAAUCAGAAUCUCAAUCAGAAGUGGAGGAUGAUGUGUGGGAGGAUGCUGUAGAUAUUAUUGGAGAUUCUCAGGGUCUAGUGAAACAAGCAUCUGAUGCUGGAAUUUGAGAGUGGCAUGCUAAACCAAACGAAAGCUAUUGAGCAAGUGCAAGUUAAACAAGGAAAGAUGAGAACUUUUUACACUUGGAAGAGAAUGUGUGCACAGCACAAAGUCAGCUGGGACUCACAUUUCUCACAACAAAGAAAUGACCAAACCACUGAGAAGUAAAAUUGCAUCAUUAAAGUUCCAUUAAGUUUAUCUGUUCAGUAGAUAAGCUGUUUUUUGACAUAUGAAACCCUUGAAAAGCAGCUAUUUUGUCAUAUUCAUACUAAGGAUAUUUGGCAAAGUAUAUGUAUUAUUUUUAUGCUAAGCUUAUCUCACAUGAUAUCAGGUUGUAUUACAUAUCUAAAACAUAAAGUUUUAGGCAUAAUACAAAAUAUAAAACAUUUGUACACAUGCAUUAUAUGCUAUAGAUUUGAAAGUUUGGCAUGUUUAAAUUAGGAAACUGAUUCUCAUUGUUGAAGGCAAAUGCAAUUGCCUGGUGUUUUAAGAUAUGUACUAAUUAGAUUUAUUUUGAACCAUGAUAUGCCUCUUGAUAUACCUCUAGGAGGAAUUUCUAUUAUACUCUAAAUAUGAUGUACACUUUACCAAAGCUAUAAUAUGGAUUAAAAGUUUAAACUUCACAAUCAUGUUCCAUAAAAGAGAUGAUUAGACAGUAUUCGGUCAGAUUCAGUGAAUUUCUAACUGAAAAUGACAGAUUGUUUAAUUUGUUUUACAAUAAUAUUUUACAAAGUCAAAAUCUGAUUAUUUAUUUGUUUGUCCACACUGCCAUUUGUCAUUGUUACAAAUUAUGUUUAAUUUACAGAAAUGCCCAAUUCAAGAAAAUAUUUAUGUGAUUACUGUUAGCAUAAAAAUUUAAGCAUGCAAACUAAUGUUGCAAUUACUGGCUUGUCCCCAUGUGUUUUUUCUCUCUCCAGAGAAGCACUUAACAUAUAAAUGUUCCAUAUAAUGAAGAUCAAUACACUUUGUAAUGCAUAUGAUCAUUAAACAUUUUUGCAUUUUUGUUAAUAUUAUACAAGUUGCCUUGCUGUAUUAAGGGGAUUUGAAAGCAUCUGGCCUGACAGAAUAAGCCAUUGCAGUAUCAAUAUCAUAAUUUUAACUUAUUCUAAAUAUUCCUAAGAGUUUGAAACCAUCUGUACAGACUGAUGAUAUGGGCUAUGCAUCUUUGAAGAAGUUGUAAUAUUAACAAUCAACUAAAUACAGGCGUAUAGUAUUGUUCGUGUAUUUUGAGAUAUUUCAAAAUGUAUGGUUUAAUACAAAUUAUAUUUCAAGUUUUAUUUAAAUAAUAAAAAAACUUAAUCAGU